rnacentral:lncRNA from 1 species
CAUCGUAUUUGCAGUUCCAUCCAAGAAAACACACGUAGAGAUUCCCUGACAUGCUUCCCUGAUACCUGGGAAACUAGAGGCAAGAGACCUUCAUGCAUGGCAUAUGAAUCAGUUAUCAAGAGCAAAAUUUAUCACCACCACCAUGUUUUAAGAUCAAUCUAACACCAAGCCCAUGGACCCCAGGGCUCGUGGCCUCUACAACUCAAGUACGUCAGUCAUCACAUCUACAACCAUAGACAAUUCACCCAGGCAGCUACAUGACACUGCAUAGGCCAUGCAUGAAUCAAGCUUUUAAUCAAGGGGAUAAAAUAUAGCAUCGGGUAAUCAAAGAGAAUGGUUCCUACCAGCCAUAUUGCUUCCCGAUUUUCACUGUCAUUCUGAGCAUCCAUACUUCUUACCACGGUCAAAAACCCGUUCGCCAAGCUCCCUUAGUGUUCACAUAUGAAUCAAAAGAUCUAGAAUUAAAUCUCUCUCCUCUUGGAUUCUCUGUGUUAUAGGAGCAGUU